UACGAAGGGGGCUAGCGUUGUUCGGAAUCACUGGGCGUAAAGGGUGCGUAGGCGGGUCUUUAAGUCAGGGGUGAAAUCCUGGAGCUCAACUCCAGAACUGCCUUUGAUACUGAGGAUCUUGAGUUCGGGAGAGGUGAGUGGAACUGUGAGUGUAGAGGUGAAAUUCGUAGAUAUUCGCAAGAACGCCAGUGGCGAAGGCGGCUCACUGGCCCGAUACUGACGCUGAGGCACGAAAGCGUGGGGAGCAAACAGG
rnacentral:rRNA from 1 species